UACGUAGGGAGCAAGCGUUGUCCGGAAUCAUUGGGCGUAAAGCGCGCGUAGGCGGCCUCAUAAGUCCGUUGUGAAAGUCAAAGGCUCAACCUUUGAAAGCCGAUGGAUACUGUGAGGCUAGAGUCCGGAAGAGGCGAGUGGAAUUCCCGGUGUAGCGGUGAAAUGCGCAGAUAUCGGGAGGAACACCGGUGGCGAAGGCGGUUCUCUGGGCCUUACCUGACGCUGAGGAGCGAAAGCGUGGGGAGCGAACAGG
rnacentral:rRNA from 1 species